AGCUUUGCGCAGUGGCAGUAUCGUAGCCAAUGAGGUUUAUCCGAGGCGCGAUUAUUGCUAAUAGAAAAACACGCACACAAGCACACAGACACACACACAGAGUGACCACAUUGCUUGAAUUAUUAGCAAGAUGUGGACAUC